GUGCUCACUUAGGCAGCAUAUUUACUAAAAUUGGAAUGAUACCAAGAAGAUAAAGCAUGGCCCUGUGCAAGGAUGACACACAAAUUCAUGAAGCAUUCCAUAUUUUU
rnacentral:snRNA from 1 species